UGGGUAACCUGCCUCAAAGAGGGGAAUAACCUCCCGAAAGGGAGAUUAAUACCGCAUAAUAUGUUUUGGUCACGUGGCCUUAACAUCAAAGGAUUUCUUCGGAAAUCCACUUUGAGAUGGACCCGCGGCGCAUUAGCUAGUUGGUGAGGUAACGGCUCACCAAGGCGACGACGGGUAGCUGGUCUGAGAGGAUGACCAGCCACAUUGGGACUGAGAUACGGCCCAGACUCCUACGGGAGGCAG
rnacentral:rRNA from 1 species